GUGGGGAAUUUUGGACAAUGGGCGAAAGCCUGAUCCAGCAAUGCCGCGUGUGUGAAGAAGGCCUUCGGGUUGUAAAGCACUUUUGGCAGGGAAGAAACAGUGCGUGCUAAUACCAUGCGCGAAUGACGGUACCUGUAGAAUAAGCACCGGCUAACUACGUGCCAGCAGCCGCGGUAAUACGUAGGGUGCAAGCGUUAAUCGGAAUUACUGGGCGUAACGCGUGCGCAGGCGGCUUUGUAAGACGGAUGUGAAAGACCCGGGCUCAACCUGGGAAGUGCAUUCGUGACUGCAAGGCUAGAGUGUGUCAGAGGGAGGUGGAAUUCCGCGUGUAGCAGUGAAAUGCGUAGAGAUGCGGAGGAACACCGAUGGCGAAGGCAGCCUCCUGGGAUAACACUGACGCUCAGGCACGAAAGCGUGGGGAGCAAACAGGAUAGAAACCCUGGUAGUCC
rnacentral:rRNA from 1 species